rnacentral:lncRNA from 1 species
AUAUACUCCAAGCAUUAUCUAUUACAGUUGCCUUAGUCAUUUACUUCACACUCCUACGGGCCUCAGAAUACUUUGCAACAAUCUUUACUAUCUCCGACGGAGUGUACAGCUCAACAUUCUUUAUAGCCACAGGGUUUUAUAGACUUCACAUCAUCAUUGGCUCAACUUUCCUGCUGCCUUCUACGCCAACUACCAUUUCACUUUAUUCACCGUUUUGGAUUUGAAGCUGCUGCUUGAUACUGACAUUUUGUAGAUGUAGUAUGGCUAUGCCGGUACGUUUCUGCCUAUUGA